UGUUUAUAAAAUGUCAUACAUGUUUAUUUGACUUAAUAAAUUGAAUUUUUGAUGCUGUUAAAAUUCUUGCAAAAUGUCCGGAUCGUGUCAGAAACCAAAAUUUGGGGUCUUGAAAAAGGCUCUAGCAGCAACAGCUGUAAUAAUAGGAGGAAUUGCUUUGUAUUGCUACUUCAGUGAACCAGGAACGUGCGGCCCUUGUGAGCGACCAAAAAAAUAAAUGUCUAAAUUAUGAAAAUAA